UGAAUUUAUAAUAUUGGCAAGUGAUGAUGUAUGGAAGGAGGAGUAUGAGAUUUCACGAUCUUCUGAGAAAGUUGGUGAGACACUAAAGCUCGUGCUUAAACACGCUUUGAGUUCCAUUAUGCAUCCCCCCUUCUCUCUCUCUCUUUGUCAGAGCAAUUAUUUUUUAUGUUGUUUUCCGCUACAGAAAAUAGUGGGAUUCUUCUCUAGAGGUGUACGUCAACAUCAACACUCUCAAUUAUACUACUAGUGAUCGUUUACCUUUUAUUCCCCUUGUA